AGAAACCGCAACUGAUUGAGGCGUAAACCGCGACCGAUCUAAGCUGCUGUUGAGGAAGAAGAGGGAGGAGACGAAAAUGGUGAGGGUCAAAAUGAUCAUUUUAUCAUCACAAUACACACCGUACCCUCUUGUGAACAUUUUUCAUUUUACAAGAGGGCAAAAUGUAGAUUUUUAAAUGACAGAAAAAAAAAUAAAAAAUCGAGUUUUGACGGGAGAGUUUUAUGUAAUUUAG
rnacentral:lncRNA from 1 species